AUUAAGCUACUUUUUAUAUGGGUAAAGUAUCUCGCGCGUCUUAUAAAUAAGACUAACAUGCAUCAUGCAGAGAUCUCCCUCUGGUUUAGUUCAAACCUGUAUAUUUUAGUUUGAUUGCAUAGGACUUAUUUGAAAAAGCUGUAAAUUUUGUUUCCGGUGCCUAGAACCAGUACUUAGUGUCUAUAGGGAAGAUCUAAAGAACGCUUCCACAGUGGGGAUCGAACCCGUGACCUCCUGGUUGCUAGGCGGACACCAUAUCCUUUACGCCACAGCUACCUCAGGGUUUGGGGUAACGGUACAGUUUGUCAAGACACCAAACGCAAAGCCUAUCCCAAGGCAAUGCCCCAUUUGCGUGGUAAAAGGCAACACGACUGUGUACCUCCGGGUAACAGACCACGUUCGCUGGGUGCAAGCGCUGACGGCAGACCCCAUGAAACCGUUGAUGUCAGAGGCACGUGCUAAGACGGUCGGAAAGUGAAGAAGACAAAGCCGAGGAAUUGCUACUCUUGCUGGCUGUGCGACAGGUCGGUGAUUGACCGGCUGCGUCAUCUAGAACAGGAGCACAAAAUGGAGGCUGGGAUAUUCAAUUUUGUUUACACAAGAGGGCCGUUUCCGGAAAGUCGCGAAAACUUCAGGAAAGGUGACCAGCAGACUCGCCACUCAUGAUGACUCGGCAUAGGAGGAUGAGAAGGUGGAGGAUGAGGAGGAGGAGGAAGAGGACUUUUCAUUCCUAACGCGGAAAUACUGCCUGAGCCUGGAACCCAAUGCAAGGGUGAUGCAUGGUCGGAGAAGCUGCAAUUUCAAUCGUUGACUCAUAUGUAGACUACAUGUUCCUGCGGAGCAGGCCAGGUGGGUUGGCAAACGAGUCGAAAACACAAGAGGUCAACAUGAAGAUCAACCGGUUCCUGGCCCUGUCUGGCUACUUGGAAGGAGUGGUGUUGAGUGACGUGCUGUUGUGGAUGGGCCAUAUGGAGGUCCACGACAGUUCCUCAAGACCACUCACCAGCUGAAGACGGUGCGGAAUGCUCUAACGGCAACCAAGAACUUCCUGAAGUGGUGCGAGGGAAUGGUCUAGCGGACGCCCGCACAUUGAACAAUGCUUCCUGACCUCAACCUGCCUGGAUAAGAGCCGUCGCGAGGUUGUUCGGAGGGUAGAGGAGAGUGCGGCCAUCCUGACGGACGCAAACCUGGAGCGCCACUUCACUGAAAGUAGGUGUACCUAGAGAUUGAGCUGGAGACAGUGAAGGUGCUGACCUCUGUGUGGAACACUUAGAAGCUGGCAAGUUUUCAUAUUGAAGGGUAUGGUUCCCAACCGCCCAUCACACACAGAAUGUAGCUUGUCGUCUUCCGCAGUAAAAACUGGGUGCUGGAAGAUGCUUACUGCUAUAUUGACUGCUUCCGAGCGCUUCCUGGACCUAAAAAUUAUCUCCCAGCAGCAACCUCCCCAAGGUGUGACGAGAGUCUUCAAGUGUUCCAGAUGGCUGGUGAUGCAUUUCAAGAAAAGCCAUCAGAAUCUUGCAAUGAUCUGUAUACUUAAUAAAUGACAAAACAACAA